GUCCACGAAUGGCACUUCCGGCAUGCUAUUUUCAGAUCACGGAAUUACGUACUCAUCGCUCCUUGUUAAAGCGCUGUAGCCAUGGUGGCAGCUGAUUACAAGAGAGAUAACUGCAAGAGACAGUGUCGAUGACUGUUGCUGUGACGUCACAGCCUCCCACACCACAGCGGAGAGCAGGAAAGACAGCGGAGAUGGGAGGGAGGACGCAAGCAGAGCUUCUUUGAUUCCUGAUGGCUAAGUAAAGGAGAAUGAACACAUGCCUUCGUCCCUUCUCCCUUCUGACAUCUCAAUAGCGGGACUGUAAAGGAAGAAGGAGCAAAUCCACAUGAGCAGAAAGAACGAGAGAAGAGGGCAGCAAGUGUGGGGGUGCGUGCCCUGCAACCCACCACUGACGGGCAAGGGUGGGAGGAUGGGAGGAUUCGGAGCUCAACAUUACAUGGUGAAGGGGAGUGGGGCAGUUUGAUCCAGAUCUAGAGCAUCAGGAAGACCCCAGCAGACAUUUGGGCCACACAGUUCCUGCCUCCUCCCCCCAGUCCUUAGCCACAGUCCCAAUGAUGCCUUGCAAACUGAACAGGGCACUCACAUUGACCCUGCUUUUGCAAUACUGAGAAGUCAGGAAGAACUCAAGUUGGCUGUGAUUCUCAAGGGUGAACGGAUUCUGAUGAUGUAUCCUAGCAACCACUGAAAAGAUACAAGCUCUAGAAGCAGAUAUACAAUAGCCACUGGAUGCAGUGAGAAGUCCCAGGGCCUCGGCAGCAACCCACAGGCUGAACCCUGCAAGUGUGAGCUGACCCUGCUGUCACGGUGCUGUAGGGACAGUAAGAGUGUGAGCUGGACCAAAGGCUACCUCAUAAAUAUGGCCUGAAAUCAAAACGCUGGAAGCCCAAGCUUGGCGCUGAAGCAGGAGCCAGGCAAAACCACUUCAUCUGAAAAGAACUAAAGGUCACAGACCGCUUUCAAAUAAAUCCCUCUAAUCUAA